UCAAUGGGUAUACCUUCCUAUUCUGUGACUAGGCGUACUGUUCCAGUACUUCGUAUUAAUGUACAACUAAAUGAACUAAUUAUUAAAAAGUAAACAGACCUUUAAACUGAAGAACUUGAUUGGCUUGUAUACAUUGGUUUCUUUGUCAUAUAGUUCAAUUGCUGUUGCUUGUAAAUGUUUUAUAAACCAGUACUGCGAAGUAGCGAAAUUUCGGGCCGUCUUUCACAACAAAUAACAUCACAAUAACUGCACAUCAUUUUCUCUUUAAUACAGAAUCAUUUUUCCCGUCCAUUGAGUUAUAAUUUCCAAAACGAACCAGUCGCUAUAACGUAAAAUAAGCGGGUAUUUGUGAACAAAAAUGCCGUUUGAUAUAACACAAGGUAACCAGCGCCAUCUUGUCUUCUCCAAACAUUACAGAUUUUCCCGC
rnacentral:lncRNA from 1 species